UUUGCGACUUUCCUCUCUCUAAAUUCCAUGGCAUCUCCAUCAAACAACCACCUUUCUUCUUCAUUCUCUGAAAAUCUCUAUACUUUCGAAACCAAAGGUUAGUUUUUUAUUUUUCCUUUUAAUUUGUUCACUUUUUCUUUUUUUUUCUUUGACCAAGUUCUUCAAAGGACUUGUUUCUUAACAUUGAGAUUUUGUUUUAGUUUCUUGUCAACAAAAAUUUGGCUUUGCAAACCAUUUAUCUCAAAUCACAAUAGUUAAAUUUAAUUGAACAGCAAAUAAAAAUCAUUUUUACUACUAUUUAUUGUCAAACUCAAUUUCUCUGACUUGAUACUGAACUUGCGGGGAAUCUUUGGAUAAUGUAGUCACAGUUCCUGGCGGACUCUUGGGAGUGUGCAGCAAUUUGCAGAAUUAAGUUGAAGGGAGGAACUUUACUGUUUUUCCAUUGCUGCAGGGUCCAGCCAACAGGGGUGAGCAGGGAGCAUGAUGAUGAGCUCAGGUGUGAUGCAGCUGGUGUUGUCAGAGUGACUGAGAGUAGUAUCACAAGUGUUUGUUUUGCUGCUUGGUACUGAAACUGGUUCUCUGUGAGUCUGCUGUGACGGUUGAUGAUUGUAUUUCCUUUCUGUAUUCUGGAUGGUACCAUGUAUGGAGUUGUUUUGGCUUGUACAAAGUGGUUUUGUUCUCCUGGGCUUCAACUGAUGGUGUAGUUAAUCUACAUGUUGAUCAGAUUGUGUACUGAAUUGUUUUGAAGAUUAAUAUAACGAAACUAUUAUCAAAAAAAAAC
rnacentral:lncRNA from 1 species